UACGUAGGGGGCAAGCGUUGUCCGGAAUCAUUGGGCGUAAAGAGCGUGUAGGCGGCCCGAUAAGUCCGCUGUGAAAGUCCAGGGCUCAACCCUGGGAUGCCGGUGGAUACUGUCGGGCUCGAGUCCGGAAGAGGCGAGUGGAAUUCCUGGUGUAGCGGUGAAAUGCGCAGAUAUCAGGAGGAACACCAAUGGCGAAGGCAGCUCGCUGGGACGUGACUGACGCUGAGACGCGAAAGCGUGGGGGAGCAAACAGG
rnacentral:rRNA from 1 species